rnacentral:lncRNA from 1 species
AAAUGGUCUCAACUCCAUCCCCUAUUUUAAUACAUCUUCCAGAGAAGAUUUAGUUCCCGUUUUGUUAAAUAUAAAAAUAUUCAAACACCAUUCUUUAAUAAUUUAAACUUUUUAGAAUAUAACGGUCGUCUCACAUGAUAUCAAAACAGGAGGUCUGAAUUCGAGUUAUGCUAGACUCCUAGUAUUAUUAAUUUUCUCCCAUUUAAUUUAAAUCCACGUCAUGGGCCUUGCAAAAAGUCUCGAAUUUAGAUAUGAGGGGAAGUGUUAAAUAUAAAAAUAUAUAAACACCGUUUUCUAAUAAUUUUUAAGUUUUUAGAGUGUAAUGAUUGUCUUACAUAUUAUCAGAGCAGAAGGUCUUGAGUUCGAGUCAUGCCAAAUGCGACAACUGAGAUAAGCAAGCCAAAAAUAAACUAUGUGAUUGAAAGGAAUGAGUUUGAAAGAUUUUUCAAAUCUAUGAUUUGAUAGUAUAAUAUGUUGAGCCUAUGAGAUGAUUUAUCUUGUUCGAGAAAAUAGUUUAAAGGCUGAAUAUGUUAUUUAAUUUUUGAUAUUUGAUUUAAUUUUUCUGAAUAAAUUAGAAAGAAAUAUGAAUAAGAUAUUCAAAUAAAGCAUAUGAAUUUUUUUUUAUGUGAUUGGAAGAAAAGAGCUUGAUUUGUGCUCUUUAAA